rnacentral:misc_RNA from 1 species
GAUUUGCACAACUUUUUAAAAAAGUUGUUUGAAUGGUUCUGACACAGUGAUAAAAAAUAUAAUGAAUGUACAGGCUAUAAUAGUAUUGCAAUGCUUUUAUCCUUAACUAAUAACUUCCCCUGUGUUUGCGCUCUCUUAUUUUAUGUAUGUGUUUGUACUAAAUGUUUUAUCCUCAGAGUUUUCAUUAAAUGAAAAUUUUUAUU